GAUGAAGAACGCAGCGAAAUGCGAUAAGUAGUGUGAAUUGCAGAAUUCAGUGAAUCAUCGAAUCUUUGAACGCACAUUGCGCCCCUUGGUAUUCCAUGGGGCAUGCCUGUUCGAGCGUCAUUUCAACCCUCAAGCUCUGCUUGGUGUUGGGCCCUGCCCGCUGCGGCCGGCCCUAAAGACAGUGGCGGUGCCGCCUGGCCCUGAGCGUAGUACAUCUCUCGCUCCAGUGCCCGGUGGUAGCCUGCCAGAACCCCAACUCUCGUGGUUGACCUCGGAUCAGGUAGGGAUACCCGCUGAACUUAAGCAUAUCAAUAAGCGGAGGA
rnacentral:misc_RNA from 1 species